rnacentral:rRNA from 1 species
GACAGAGGGGGCAAGCGUUGCUCGGAAUUACUGGGCGUAAAGGGCGCGUAGGCGGAAUGGCAAGUCGGUCGUGAAAUCCUUCGGCUCAACCGAAGAACGUCGAUCGAAACUGCCGUUCUUGAGGAUUGCAGAGGAGACUGGAAUUCCCGGUGUAGCGGUGAAAUGUGUAGAGAUCGGGAGGAACACCGGUGGCGAAGGCGGGUCCCUGGGCAAUUCCUGACGCUGAGGCGCGAAAGCGUGGGGAGCAAACGGG